CGAGGGCGCUGGCGCAGGCGGCGCGGGCGGCUGGCUGCCGUCGCCGGGCAGCAGGCGGAACAGGCCGAACGGUACCAGGCCGUAGCCUUCGA
rnacentral:tRNA from 1 species